GAACAUCCCUUGAGUACAUGGUAUGUGAAAGAAUGAAAUCCACUUUAGGAGAAUCAAAGGCUGCUUUGAAAGUAUCAAUGUCCAUACCCUGGAAGGAGAAAAUUAUCCUGAGUAAAAGUUGGUUAAGAGACAAGACAUGUAUCUGUACAAAUGAACUGUGAUGAUGUCAGAAGAAAAACAAGAGAUUAAAAAGGGAACACAAGGACUGCUACGUACCUGGUGUUUGAUAGCAUCAUACAAAAGCUGCCUUCCAGAUGGCUUGUCAAAGUCGCCAACAAUCCAAAAAGUUACUGGCCUAACAAAAGAAUCAUC